AUGGUAUCACUACUCGUGCUUGCGGUGCUUGUGUUGCCGCCGGCAACAAUUGCCACGGUGACUACAGCUACAAGAAACUGCUCUGAUACCUGUGGUUCUGAUGUGAUACCUUACCCUUUCGGGCUAGAUCCUUCAUGCUCCUUGCCUGGUUUCAAUCUCACCUGUGCUGUCGACAAGCACACCAACGCCAGUUUUCUCAUGCUGGGCACGGACAACUCAACCCUGAAGGUGUCUCAGGUUUUUGCGGAUUCCAACCCCUACCUCAGCUACCUGCACACCAGUCUCUCGUACACGACGAAAAUGAUUCCCGGUGUCCGCGACUCCUCCAUCCACUGGGAAGCUCCAGCUAGGCCCUUUGCCAUCUCUGGCUCGUCAAACAUAUCCUUGUUUGUUGUCGGCUGCGAUGUCACAGCCUCACUGUACAUUGGAAACUCGGUCGUUCAGGUCGGGAACUGCACUGUCGUCUGCACGGAAGCUCAAAUCAUGGAGAAGCUACCUGUGGGGACAUGCGAUGCCAUGGUUGGCAUCAGAUGCUGCUCCAUCGGCAUACAGGUGAACUUAAGGGCGUUCACCCUCAACAUCUCACGCAUCAGUGAUUCUCCACGCCCCAAACAAGUGCAAGCUUUCAUCGCCUACAAUAUGAACCCAACAUUCAGGCCGAUUGACGCCUACUCUGGGUUAUUAGAGCGAUACGUUGCUCAACUGGAUUGGUCUAUUCCAUACCAACCAAACUGUAAGCAUGCCAUAGAGGACAAGGACAACUAUGCCUGCGUUAGCGACCACAGCAACUGUCAAGACUCGCCGAUCGGUGGAUACCUCUGCUACUGCCAGUCAGGCGAGGGGAAUGCUUACAUUGAUGGCGGCUGCCCUAAUCCUCCAGUAUAUGGCUCCAUUCAGCCAAGAACGAAUUGUCCUACAUCAUGCGGGAAUAUGAGCAUCCCGUUCCCCUUUGGUACAGAGCUUGGCUGUUUUGCAAAACUCCAUCUCUACCUCACAUGUACACCAGGGACGACCGUUCUUCCUCCGGUCCUUAAAUUGACUGAUCAAGCGCUCGUCACAGACAUAUCUAUUGAUGACGGCAUCUUGCAAGUUCAUGAGGCAUCGGGGCCAGGCGAUUUCAUGGCUCGUUGGAACUUGGACCCUGCGCUCUACACAUCAUCCGGGCAAUGGGGUGCAGUGAAGUGGGUUAUUGAUAACAUGACAUGCCAGCAUGCAAUGAACAACAGCGACUACAGAUGCUUCAGCACCCACAGCGACUGUGUUGAUGUGACAGAGGAUAGAACACUCAAACAUGUCGGUUACCGGUGCAGGUGCUCUUCUGGUUUCGAAGGAAAUCCUUACAUUCAAGAUGGAUGCACAGAUACCAACGAGUGCCGUGAGCCAGAUAAAUACAUCUGCAAGGGUACUUGCCAGAAUAGUUUUGGAAGCUAUACAUGCACCAGUUGUCCUCGAGGAACAGAUUUCAAUAGUGUCGCAGGAAAAUGCAAACCAACCACUAUAAUAUUAGGUGUUACUAUUGGAAUAAGCAGUGGUGGAGGCGUUCUGUUUCUUGCUGCCAUUGUUGCUAUUCUUACUCGGAGAUGGAAGAAAAGUGUUCAGAAACGUCAGAGAAAGAGGCAUUUCCGUAAGAACAGAGGCAUUCUACUACAACAGCUGAUCUCCUCCGAUCAAAGUGCCAGCGAUGGCGGCACAAAGAUAUUCUCCCUGGAGGAGCUGCAAAAGGCAACCAACAAUUUCGAUCACACCCGUGUGGUUGGACGCGGUGGCCAUGGCACUGUCUACAAGGGCAUCCUGACCGACCAGCGAGUGGUGGCCAUCAAGAAAUCAACGCUUGCUGUGAUCAGAGAGAUCGACGAGUUCAUCAACGAGGUCUCCAUCCUAUCGCAGAUCAACCACCGGAACGUGGUGAAGCUCCAUGGAUGUUGCCUAGAAUCUGAGGUCCCUCUGCUCGUCUACGAGUUCGUCUCCAACGGCACGCUCUACGACCUCCUGCACCGAGAGCAGAACGGUAGCUUGUCGCCGUUGUCCUGGGAGGAGCGCCUGAGGAUAUCCACCGAGAUCGCGGGUGCGCUCACGUACCUGCACUCCGCGGCUUCCGUGUCGAUCCUACACAGAGACGUCAAGUGCAUGAACGUGCUCCUGACGGACAGCUACACCGCAAAGGUUUCAGACUUCGGCGCUUCGAGGCUGAUCCCGAUCGAUCAGACGCACCUAGUCACUGCCGUUCAGGGCACGUUUGGGUACCUAGAUCCGGAGUAUUACCACACCGGUCAGCUCAACGAAAAGAGCGAUGUUUAUAGUUUUGGAGUGAUACUCGUUGAGCUGCUGACGAGGAGGAAGCCCAUCAUUCAGAAUGAGCAUGGCGAGAAGCAGAACCUGUCCAACUACUUCUUGUGGGCUAUGAGGGAGAGGCCCCUCGAGGAGACAGUGGACCCUCAGAUCCUUGAGGAAGCGAAUGAGGAAGGCGUUCUGUGCAUGGCUCAGUUGGCGGAGGAGUGCCUAUGUCUGACACGAGUGCAGAGGCCUACCAUGAAGGAUGUGGAGAUGAGGCUGCAGCUCCUGGCGGGGCGCCGUGUUGUACCAAGGGCGGGGCCGCAUGAAGGAUUGAAGGGGCACAAUCUCGCCGUGAAGCUACGGGAGACGUUGGGCGUGGUUGUGUUGUUCCGGUGA
rnacentral:rRNA from 1 species